UUCAUAUUCUAGAAUGAGUAUCUAGUGAUUCUAGUCCCUAUAAGAAGGUCUAUCUACUAUUUUUAGGAGAAUGAAAGAAAAUAUUCAGUUUAAGCAUUGGAGGUUUGAUCCCUCGAAGUAAUCAUUGCCUUCUACCCUGUUAAGUUUCUAGCUGAUAGGAUCUCUACAAGGCUCUCUCUCCAUUAAUUGCACUAUAGUACAUGAUGUUACCAAUUGGCGGCCUUAUCUUAUCGGAAGACACUUUUUAGAUUAAAACUGAUCAUAGUAGCAUCGAUCAAAUACAUCCUGGAGCAAAUAAUCUCCUCAAUGGAACGGCAGUGUUGCGUAUCUAAACUGAUGGGAUAUGACUAUGAAAUAAUCUACAAGAAAGGAAUGGAAAAUGUGGUAGCAUAUGCAUUAUCACGGUUGCCAGGUCAAGCUGAACUUUCGACAAUUCGAGCCCCUAUUUUUGCUGGAAUUGAUGACAUUAGGAGAAAAUGGAUGGAAGACAAUGUGGUGCAUGCAAGAGCUGAUUCAUAAGCUACAACAAAAACCAAGUGUUGUUCGUCACUAUACAUGGGAAGGGACAGACCUUAGACACAAGGGGUGCAUCGUUCUAGUGGUUUACUCGGCUCAAAACCAUCAGUACUCUAUGAAUUCCAUGCUUCAUUCGUUGGACAAUUCGGUUACCUUCGAACAUACAUAAGGCUCUCUCUUUGACUGGAAGGGGAUGUCUAGCAACUGGAGCUUGGGCUUUCAUCUAGAUCUGUGGAGAGUUUUUCAUGCAGUCAAUGAAAUCUUUGAACAGAAAACAGUGAUUUAUGACUGUAAGUGGUGUUAUUGUUCAUAUAUAUCAGUCACCGACGCAUCAAAGUAUAUGGACCCAUCUCCUCAAUCCCUCUUCAGGUGCGUUUCUCUAGGAUUUGUUUGAAAUUCUUCUCGGGUAAGUUUGAAUCUAUUUUCUAAUUCUCAAUUUGCCAUGUAUUGUGAUCUAAUCUAGUAUUUCCUCUGAUGGUUGGUUAAGCUAGCUGGAAUUCCUGUCUAUGAUCAGAAACAAUUAAUGAGGAGGAUUCCAAUUGAUGUUUGAUUGUUUUUUCGAUGGUAAUUGAUGUUUGAUUGUUGCUUCCGGUGAUAUACACUUGUACAGAAACUGACAACAUUGAGAAGAUUUUCAUAUGGAGCGGAAGAGACUUGGACGUGUAGAAGUAGAAGUAGAAGUAGUAGUAGUAGUAGCAGUAGCAGUAGAGGUAGAAGUAAAAGUACUGAUGUAUUGUAAUUAGUAUGAAAGUUAAUGUUUGUAUUUUAGUGAAUUUGAAAUUGAAUAUCCGAUAAUUCAUUUCUCAUCAAUAUAUAUUUUUUUUAAUUGUUUUUA